GAUGUCUACUUGGAGGUUGUGCCCUUGAGGCGUGGCUUCCGGAGCUAACGCGUUAAGUAGACCGCCUGGGGAGUACGGCCGCAAGGUUAAAACUCAAAUGAAUUGACGGGGGCCCGCACAAGCGGUGGAGCAUGUGGUUUAAUUCGAUGCAACGCGAAGAACCUUACCUGGUCUUGACAUCCACAGAACUUUCCAGAGAUGGACUGGUGCCUUCGGGAACUGUGAGACAGGUGCUGCAUGGCUGUCGUCAGCUCGUGUUGUGAAAUGUUGGGUUAAGUCCCGCAACGAGCGCAACCCUUAUCCUUUGUUGCCAGCGAUUAGGUCGGGAACUCAAAGGAGACUGCCAGUGAUAAACUGGAGGAAGGUGGGGAUGACGUCAAGUCAUCAUGGCCCUUACGACCAGGGCUACACACGUGCUACAAUGGCGCAUACAAAGAGAAGCGACCUCGCGAGAGCAAGCGGACCUCAUAAAGUGCGUCGUAGUCCGGAUUGGAGUCUGCAACUCGACUCCAUGAAGUCGGAAUCGCUAGUAAUCGUGGAUCAGAAUGCCACGGUGAAUACGUUCCCGGGCCUUGUACACACCGCCCGUCACACCAUGGGAGUGGGUUGCAAAAGAAGUAGGUAGCUUAACCUUCGGGAGGGCGCUUACCACUUUGUGAUUCAUGACUGGGGUGAAGUCGUAACAAGGUAACCGUAGGGGAACCUGC
rnacentral:rRNA from 1 species